rnacentral:rRNA from 1 species
AACGAACGCUGGCGGCAUGCCUAACACAUGCAAGUCGAACGAGACCUUCGGGUCUAGUGGCGCACGGGUGCGUAACGCGUGGGAACCUGCCCUUAGGUUCGGAAUAACUCCCCGAAAGGGGUGCUAAUACCGGAUAAUGUCUUCGGACCAAAGAUUUAUCGCCUUUGGAUGGGCCCGCGUUGGAUUAGCUAGUUGGUAGGGUAAAAGCCUACCAAAGCGACGAUCCAUAGCUGGUCUGAGAGGAUGAUCAGCCACACUGGGACUGAGACACGGCCCAGACUCCUACGGGAGGCAGCAGUGGGGAAUAUUGUACACUGGGCGAAAGCCUGAUCCAGCAAUGCCGCGUGAGUGAUGAAGGCCUUAGGGUUGUAAAGCUCUUUUACCCGGGAUGAUAAUGACAGUACCGGGAGAAUAAGCUCCGGCUAACUCCGUG